rnacentral:rRNA from 1 species
GUCCGGAAUUAUUGGGCGUAAAGAGCUCGUAGGCGGCCAGUUGCGUCCGCUGUGAAAUCCUGGGGCUUAACCCCGGGCGUGCAGUGGAUACGGGCUGGCUAGAGGCAGGCAGGGGAGAACGGAAUUCCCGGUGUAGCGGUGAAUGCGCAGAUAUCGGGAGGAACACCCGUGGCGAAGGCGGCUCUCUGGGACGGUACUGACGCUGAGACGCGAAAGCGUGGGGAGCGAACAGG